rnacentral:rRNA from 1 species
GUGCAAGCGUUAAUCGGAAUUACUGGGCGUAAAGCGUGCGCAGGCGGUUAGGUAAGACAGAUGUGAAAUUCCCGGGCUCAACCUGGGAACUGCAUUUGUGACUGCCUGACUAGAGUGCGGCAGAGGGGAGUGGAAUUCCGCGUGUAGCAGUGAAAUGCGUAGAUAUGCGGAGGAACACCGAUGGCGAAGGCAACUCCCUGGGCCUGCACUGACGCUCAUGCACGAAAGCGUGGGGAGCAAACAGGAUUAGAUACCCUAGUAGUCCACGCCCUAAACGAUGUCGACUAGUUGUUGGACGGGUUACUGUUCAGUAACGUAGCUAACGCGUGAAGUCGACCGCCUGGGGAGUACGGCCGCAAGGUUAAAACUCAAAGGAAUUGACGGGGACCCGCACAAGCGGUGGAUGAUGUGGUUUAAUUCGAUGCAACGCGAAAAACCUUACCUACCCUUGACAUGCCAGGAACUUACCAGAGAUGGUUUGGUGCUCGAAAGAGAGCCUGGACACAGGUGCUGCAUGGCUGUCGUCAGCUCGUGUCGUGAGAUGUUGGGUAAGUCCCGCAACGAGCGCAACCCUUGUCAUUAGUUGCUACGCAAGAGCACUCUAAUGAGACCGCCGGUGACAAACCGGAGGAAGGUGGGGAUGACGUCAAGUCCUCACGGCCCUUAUGGGUAGGGCUACACACGUCAUACAAUGGGCGGUACAGAGGGUUGCCAACCCGCGAGGGGGAGCCAAUCCCUUAAAACCGCUCGUAGUCCGGAUUGUAGUCUGCAACUCGACUGCAUGAAGUCGGAAUCGCUAGUAAUCGCGGAUCAGCUUGC